rnacentral:tRNA from 1 species
CGGGGUGUAGCGCAGACUGGUAGCGCGCCAGCCUUGGGCGCUGGAAGUCGCCGGUUCAAAUCCGGCCGCCCCGACCA